AAAAAGGACUCUCGGCAACGGAUAUCUCGGUUCUUGCAUCGAUGAAGAACGUAGCGAAAUGCGAUACUUGGUGUGAAUUGCAGAAUCCCGUGAACCAUCGAGUCUUUGAACGCAAGUUGCGCCCAAAGCCAUUCGGUUGAGGGCACGCCUGCCUGGGUGUCGUG
rnacentral:rRNA from 5 species